CAUGCAAGUCGAGGGGCAGCAUCAUCAAAGCUUGCUUUGAUGGAUGGCGACCGGCGCACGGGUGAGUAACACGUAUCCAACCUGCCGACAACACUGGGAUAGCCUUUCGAAAGAAAGAUUAAUACCGGAUGGCAUAGUUUUCCCGCAUGGGAUAAUUAUUAAAGAAUUUCGGUUGUCGAUGGGGAUGCGUUCCAUUAGGCAGUUGGCGGGGUAACGGCCCACCAAACCUACGAUGGAUAGGGGUUCUGAGAGGAAGGUCCCCCACAUUGGAACUGAGACACGGUCCAAACUCCUACGGGAGGCAGCAGUGAGGAAUAUUGGUCAAUGGACGAGAGUCUGAACCAGCCAAGUAGCGUGAAGGAUGACUGCCCUAUGGGUUGUAAACUUCUUUUAUACGGGAAUAAAGUUAGCCACGUGUGGCUUUUUGUAUGUACUGUAUGAAUAAGGAUCGGCUAACUCCGUGCCAGCAGCCGCGGUAAUACGGAGGAUCCGAGCGUUAUCCGGAUUUAUUGGGUUUAAAGGGAGCGUAGGCGGGUUGUUAAGUCAGUUGUGAAAGUUUGCGGCUCAACCGUAAAAUUGCAGCUGAUACUGGCGACCUUGAGUGCAACAGAGGUAGGCGGAAUUCGUGGUGUAGCGGUGAAAUGCUUAGAUAUCACGAAGAACUCCGAUUGCGAAGGCAGCUUACUGGAUUGUAACUG
rnacentral:rRNA from 1 species